rnacentral:rRNA from 1 species
UACGUAGGGUGCAAGCGUUGUCCGGAAUUAUUGGGCGUAAAGAGCUCGUAGGUGGUCUGUUGCGUCGGCUGUGAAAUCCCGAGGCUCAACCUCGGGCCUGCAGCCGAUACGGGCAGACUAGAGUUCGGCAGGGGAGACUGGAAUUCCUGGUGUAGCGGUGAAAUGCGCAGAUAUCAGGAGGAACACCGGUGGCGAAGGCGGGUCUCUGGGCCGAUACUGACGCUGAGGAGCGAAAGCGUGGGGAGCGAACAGG